rnacentral:lncRNA from 1 species
CGUUCUGCUCUUCCUCCGACAGCCACGCAGCGAGCUCACGAGGCAGCCUCCACACAUAAUGAAAGCAAACGCCACCAUAAAUCUCCCGCUCGGCGGAGGUCACUUCAGAAAAAUCGCCCGCUGCUCAGAUAAGCACCAGCUUUGCUGAGGAACAUGGAAGGGGGAAAACACCGACUGUGAUAAACACCAGCAGGUAGGCUCCAAAUGGAGGCCAACCCAGGCAACUCGGAGAGAAGGGAGCCGGGAUGAAGCAGGUGUGUGUGCGUGUGUGUGUUUACACACAACAGCCCUGGCCCAGUGUGUUCUGGCUGCGAGAACAAGCAACCGCACCACGAGAGGAGCUGCUCUCCCCCCCGGGAGGAGAGCUCCGGAGGCACCAAUUUUCAUUAAACCUAGGAGUACACACAGGGGCAGGAGGCCAAAACAGUCCUCGAAACUGAGGCUUUUAAAAACAUCUGUUGGCAGCGUUGAGAUCCUAGAAGAGAGAGAGAGACGGAGAGAGAGAGAGAGAGAGAGAGAGAGAGAGAGAGAGAGAGAGAGCUCAGAGUCCAGCACUUUCAUUUCCAGACUGUGAGUCAUAAAAGGAGUACGUAAAUCCCUAUCGCCAGAAUACGCUGACCCAAGUCUGGGUUUAUGAACACCUGAAGUACAUUUCAUGAGAAUUAGCUUUAAAUAUCAACCUGAUCACAAAGCUUGAAAGGUUUUCUCCCAUCUCAGGAUGACUGGAGUCCGCUGGAACCUGGAAUGGAGUUUUCUGACAGCAAAGGAUUACAGGAGCGUAACAGAAAUUAUGGAGAUUUCCCCGCUAGGCAUAAGGAUGCGAUCACUGUAGGCACCUGUGGGCCCAAGCAGGUUACCCACCAAUAUCCCUUUAAACACCAAAUUAUGGACUAUUAGGCCACUGCUUCAAGGCUUCUACAAAUGUGAAACCUUGACAAAUUCCCAAAUAAAAGCCAUAAAACCAAUCAUUUUUUAAACCUGUAUGAGUGACACCAGGAAAAUUACAGCAGUGUGGCAGGUCACUGUGAAAUAAAGCUGCCAGAAAGAAGCUUACGAUGCUGUCAUGGAAAAGGCAAUUAGAAGGUUACUUUCUCUCAGGUCUAAGAUUGGUUCUUGUUCUUCCUACAGCUCCCUGCCUUCCACCUCCCUGCUGCAAAAUGGAUCAAUCUAUAAUAAGUAGUAGUUAUAUAUCAUAAGGCAGCAAUUCCUUUUAGUUGUUCCACUAUAAAAAAGCAUCCAGAUUUAGAACUUGACAGGAACCAGUAUCGCCUGCCCCCCAGAGCCGGCAGAAAGUCUGUGUAUGUCAUUCAGCCAGCAUGGAGUCUGGGUGUUUUAAAAGCUUUAAUUUGAAGGGGAUAAAAAACCUGGGCGUUAAGCAAUUUGGCUGUGGAUAUUUAAUGCAUCAGCCACGCUAUAGAAUUGGAGUCCUCUAUUUAAAAUGAGAAAUUGAAAACUUACACGCUCUGUAGGCAAGGUGUAAGUAAAUGUAGGAUGGUAAGCAGAAAUCAGCUGAGAACCUGCAGAAACGCCAUUAGAAGGACUAAUGGCAUGGUUCAGAAGUGGCCUUAAACAAAUGCUAGGGUGUCGUUUGUAAGUGUGUAAAACAGGUCUGGCUUUUAAUUAGCAGGAGCCAUAUCUCCCUGUGUUUAGGAAAAGGCAUUACUUCUCAAAGAGAAUAUCCUAACGGGGUCUACAUAGGGACCAGGAGGAAACAAUGGCCCGGGAGUUGAGAUUUGCCUCAAGGCACGUUCCUCCUCAAUGGCAGCGUGGAGAUUGGAACUCAGUCUCCUUAUCUCUAAUUUCCACUCUAACACACUUAUUGUAGGUAGAAAAAAUGCAUCCCAAAGAUGUCUACUUCUUACUCCCCAGAACCUGUACAUACAGCACCUUACAUGGCAAAAGUGACUUUGCAGAUACGAUUGAGUUAAGGGUUUUGAGAUAGGGAGAUUACCAGGUGGCCCAACGGAAUCACAAGGGGCCUGAUAAGUAUGAGAGGGAGCAGAAGAGUGAGGGUCAGAGUCAGAGAGAGACUGGAAGAUGCUAUACCACUGGCUUUGAAGAUGAAGGAGGGGGACACAAGCCAAGGAAUGCAGGCAGCCUCUAAAUGCAGGAAAAGGUAAGGAAAUCGGUCUUACAGCCUCCAUAAAAAUGCCAUCCUGCCAAUGCCUUGAUUUCAGCCUCAUGAGACCCUUUCAGACUUCUGAUCUCUAGAACUGUAAGAGAAUACAUUGCGUUGUUUUAAGCCACUAAGUUUGUGAUGAUUUAUUACAGUACCAAGAGGAAAUCACUACAGUGUUCUAGCUGGGGAUCACAUUUCCCCACCUCAUUUUGAUCUACUCAAAGUAGUCCAUUACCUCAGUGCUGGUUAGAGUCUUUAUAAAAGCAAAAACAACAGAAUUCAGAUGCUUCUGCAGUUCUCUCUGGUAUGGAGAGCAGGUGUAAUCCCGAGACCCAUAACCUAGAGUUGGACCAGCGUGUACCAAGGUGGGGCUUGGCAGGAGUGGUCCACCCUUUUGGGAAGGAGUGUUUUAUCACUGACAUUGUUAAGGGUCACCACAGCAGAUUUUUAGUGGGUUUUGUUGUUUUUAAAUUCUCAUAGGCAGUGCACCUCUUAUUGCCUGUUCCAGCAUGAUCUGCUCCCACUGCCCACACCCACCAUUAACCUCCACCGUUGGUCUUUAGUGUCUUCUACUUUCCUUUUUGGAUUUUGUUUUUGUUUGUUUUAUUUUUUAAAUUUUUUAACUUUCCUUUAUGACACUCUUUCUUGUGGCACCUUGUUGGCUCUCUGCUCUGUGUCUCUUUCCCAUAUGAAUGAUUCCUAAAGGAAAGAUUUUUUCUAAUUAUCAGCUCUGUGUUAAGAAAUUAGUUGGAAAGAACUUAAAGUAUGAGGGUUCAUCAACUAUUUCUGGUGUAUUAGAAUACUCUAUUUCAUUUGGGUGUGUUUCAUUAAUGACUUCUACCCUCUUAUCCCUGCUGCUUCUGUAAAGCCUUCAAGACCCCUCAAAGUUAAUCUCUACAGGUGAAAUUUCAGGCUCCUGGUUUGGGUGGGCCUUUUCCAGAGUGUCUCAUGUACACUUUGUAGAUACAGCUUUGGAGUCAGACAGACCGGGGUUUGACUCCCUGACCCACCAUUUACUAGUGAUGUCACCUUGAAAAAAAUUAUUUAUUGUCUCACUUUGUUUAUCUGUAAAAUGGAGAACAUAACAAUGAUCUUGCUCCAUAGUGAGAAAUUAAUGCGAUUUUGUAUUUCAAGUGUUUAGCAGAGUGUGACCCACACAAGCCACAGAAAUCGUGGUGGUGGAGAAGUCACAAAGUGCUUGGUGCCCAUACUUUUCAGAAUCUGAGUGUUGAAAAGAAAUAUCCACCAAAUGUGUAACAGCAGCAAGCAUUUACACAUAGCUAGCUGUGAACCUUCUUCUUGGAUAGCGGGCUCCAACAAGAAUAAGCAAUGGUAAGAGAUGAUCUACAGCCCUGUCCAAAAGAAGCUCAUGGUUUAGGAGGGAGAAGAUAUAAAGACAUAAUUACUGAAUUACUGGCAUUUAUCACUCUAUAUGAAGUGUCAUUACAACUGAGGAUGAUGAGAAGACCCAGGAGACAAAAUCUUCCAAGGGAAUCAGGAACAAGGGCACAGAGGUAAUGAAUUUUGAGUUGGGUCCUGGAGCGUGAGUAGGAGUUUGCAAAGCAGAAAAUAGGAGAAAAAUUAUACCAGGCAGAGAAAAGUGUAUAAGAAAAACAAAGUAAAAGAAUAUCAACAGAGAACAUCUCCUGAGCAUAACAAUAAUAUUGAAGCCAUGGGUACAAAUUAAAUCCAGUUCAAUGAGUUAAAGCCAUAGCAACUUGCACUGAAUCAUCAACAACUUAACUUUCUCUGGAUCUGCUGCAAAGUGAUUUCAGGGUCACACCGAACAUUCUUCCUUGACUAAAAACGAUGCCUUGAGAAUUCACUGAUGGCCACAGUGCAAUCAAUACUAAUCAGGUAAUACGCCCUGGCCCUGAGAUAACAGAGCAUCUAGAAUCCCAAUGUAUGAAUUCAUACCUAAUCUAUAUACUGCCUUAUAUGAGUGGAGGAUUUGUUCACAUUCCAAAGCAUUUUAGUAAGAUGCUAAGAAAAAUCAAUAACUUAUUAAAUACCAGUUACCUCAUUAAAACAAACAAUUAAUCAUCUUUGUUGCUAUUAUAUUGGGACCACAGAUCUGACUUUAUAUAUUUUUCAUUGGUGUGUAUGCUCACAGGUUUACUCCAUUCAUUAGAGGAGAUGACAGAACUCUUGACAGCAAUGCUAUCAAGAAGGAAGUUUCAGUUUAAGAACCCCUCUGGGCUUGCAGAAUGACACACACUGCAGCCAAGAUGGUGCUACUAUAAGAAAUGGACUCCCCAGCACGUUAUUGAAGAAAAAAAAAACCUGCAGCAAUCAAAAAAAAAAGGGGGGACGGGGGCAAAUCUAUAACUUCAGCUGGAAGUGAUGAAAAUUAACUGUUAGAAGUAGAAGAGACCUUAUGCUACUAAAAUAAUAAUCAUCACUUCAAAUAUUUCCUGCUCUUGAAAUAUUUUGUCAGUGCCCUGUGAUAUCGGGAAAUAAAGUUACGUUCAUUUCCAGUUUUAAGAUGGAAAUGGGAGUUCACAUUAGCGUACAUACAUAUUUUGUGAAAUGGAAAAAUGAGACCCACUGUCAGCCACAAUAAUAAGUACAUUCCUCAAAAAAUGAAGACUUCUGGUUUGAUUUCAUUGACCUGUUAGGAAUGGUUAACUUUUUAAUUUUUUUUUUUUUUGAAUACAAAUUUUGAGUUAUCUCUCCCAAGGCCAUCAUGUCAUCAAUUUCUUAGGAAUAUAGAGAAAAGGUUGAACUAUAUGCCUAUGAAUCUGUGAAUAAAUUACUCUUCUUAUCUAUGGAAAUGUCCCCUACACUUAAAAAGUAUGGUCAGCAUUAUGUAAGCUAAACCGACAAGUGCUGAGUUAAACAAAAUUAUCUCAGUAAAUUAUAUAUGAUAGGGUUUUUUUUCCCUAGGAAUCUUUGAAUAGCAUUUCUUAAGAAAUUGUGAUUAUUAGGUCCAAAUAAUUUAAAGUUGCCAUUUCAUUUAGAGUUGGCUGAUUUUUGUGUGAAUGUUUUUGCAAAGAGCAUCAUAUGUGAGUCUUCCCUGCAGCCUGCAUAGUGCAGUGGAAAGAAAACAGACACUGCAUUUCUUAGUCUGGAUUUGAAUCCUAACCACCCUCAGACUGUCUUUAGUCAGUAACUUUACUUUUCUAAGUCAGUAUUUUCAGAUAUUAAAUAGGGGUAAAUAACAUUUCCCCUAUGUAUCUCACUGGAGUAUCAUUAUG